AUUGAACGCUGGCGGCAGGCCUAACACAUGCAAGUCGAGCGAGCGGCGGACGGGUGAGUAAUGUCUGGGAAACUGCCUGAUGGAGGGGGAUAACUACUGGAAACGGUAGCUAAUACCGCAUACUAAUCGAUGAGCCUAAGUCGGAUUAGCUAGUUGGUGGGGUAAAGGCCUACCAAGGCGACGAUCUGUAGCGGGUCUGAGAGGAUGAUCCGCCAAAACGGGACUGAGAAACGGGCCAGACUUCUAAGGGAGGCAGCAGGGGGGAAUAUGUGACAAUGGGGGGAACGCUGGUCCAGCCAUGGCGGGGGUGGGAAGAAGGCCUUAUGGUUGUAAAGCACUUUAAGCGAGGAGGCGUUACUCGCAGAAUAAGCACCGGCUAACUCUGUGCCAGCCGCCGCGGUAAUAC
rnacentral:rRNA from 1 species